UCCCCGUUACCGGGGCAGUCUGGCCUGAGAAAUACAACAGACCAUAAGGGUUGCGCUCGUUGAUGGACUUAACCAAACAUCUCACGACACGAGCUGACGACGGCCAUGCAACACCUGUCAUCGGGUUCCAAAAGGCACUCUCUACUUUCGUAAAGAUUCCCGAGAUGUCAAACCCUGGUAAGGUUCUUCGCUUACCAUCGAAUUAAACAACACGCUCCACCGCUUGUGCGGGUCCCCGUCAAUUCCUUUAUGUUUUAGCCUUGCGGCCGUACUCCACAGGCGGCUUGCUUAACGCGUUAGCUUCGCUACUACGAGGGUCGAUACUCAUAACAGCUAGCAAGCAUCGUUUACGGCGUGGACUAC
rnacentral:misc_RNA from 1 species